GUGAGGAAUAUUGGUCAAUGGGCGGGAGCCUGAACCAGCCAAGUCGCGUGAAGGAAGAAGGAUCUAUGGUUCGUAAACUUCUUUUGCAGGGGAAUAAAGUGCAGGACGUGUCCUGGUUUGUAUGUACCCUGAGAAUAAGGAUCGGCUAACUCCGUGCCAGCAGCCGCGGUAAUACGGAGGAUCCGAGCGUUAUCCGGAUUUAUUGGGUUUAAAGGGUGCGUAGUUGGAUUGAUAAGUCAGCGGUGAAAGUUUGCAGCUUAACUGUAAAAAUGCCGUUGAAACUGUCGGACUUGAGUGUAAAUGAGGUAGGCGGAAUGCGUGGUGUAGCGGUGAAAUGCAUAGAUAUCACGCAGAACUCCGAUUGCGAAGGCAGCUUACUAAGCUACAACUGACACUGAAGCACGAAAGCGUGGGGAUCAAACAGGAUUAGAAACCCUUGUAGUCC
rnacentral:rRNA from 1 species